CAAGGGAGGGUUUGAUCAUGGCUCAGGAUGAACGCUAGCGGCAGGCUUAACACAUGCAAGUCGAGGGGUAACAGGGAGAAGCUUGCUUUUCCGCUGACGACCGGCGCACGGGUGCGUAACGCGUAUAGAACCUACCUUUUACAGGAGAAUACCCCAGAGAAAUUUGGAAUAAUGCUCCAUAGUAUUAUUGAGUGGCAUCAUUUGAUAAUUAAACAUUUAUGGGUAAAAGAUGGCUAUGCGUUCUAUUAGCUAGAUGGUAAGGUAACGGCUUACCAUGGCANCGAUAGAUAGGGGUCCUGAGAGGGAGAUCCCCCACACUGGUACUGAGACACGGACCAGACUCCUACGGGAGGCAGCAGUGAGGAAUAUUGGACAAUGGAGGCAACUCUGAUCCAGCCAUGCCGCGUGCAGGAAGACGGCCCUAUGGGUUGUAAACUGCUUUUAUAUAGGAAGAAACCUUUCCACGUGUGGAAAGCUGACGGUACUGUAUGAAUAAGCACCGGCUAACUCCGUGCCAGCAGCCGCGGUAAUACGGAGGGUGCAAGCGUUAUCCGGAAUCAUUGGGUUUAAAGGGUCCGUAGGCGGACUAAUAAGUCAGGGGUGAAAUACCACAGCUCAACUGUGGAACUGCCUUUGAUACUGUUAGUCUUGAGUUAUAUGGAAGUAGAUAGAAUGUGUAGUGUAGCGGUGAAAUGCUUAGAGAUUACACAGAAUACCGAUUGCGAAGGCAGUCUACUACGUAUAUACUGACGCUAAUGGACGAAAGCGUGGGGAGCGAACAGGAUUAGAUACCCUGGUAGUCCACGCCGUAAACGAUGGACACUAGUUGUUGGAGUAAUUCAGUGACUAAGCGAAAGUGAUAAGUGUCCCACCUGGGGAGUACGAACGCAAGUUUGAAACUCAAAGGAAUUGACGGGGGCCCGCACAAGCGGUGGAGCAUGUGGUUUAAUUCGAUGAUACGCGAGGAACCUUACCAGGGCUUAAAUGUAGGUUGCAUUAGCUAGAGAUAGCUAUUUCUUCGGACUACUUACAAGGUGCUGCAUGGUUGUCGUCAGCUCGUGCCGUGAGGUGUCAGGUUAAGUCCUAUAACGAGCGCAACCCCUGUCGUUAGUUGCCAGCAAGUAAAGUUGGGGACUCUAACGAGACUGCCGGUGCAAACCGCGAGGAAGGGUGGGGAUGACGUCAAAUCAUCACGGCCCCUUACGUCCUGGGGCUACACACGUGCUACAAUGGGUAUGGACAGAGAGCAGCCACUGGGGUGACCAGGAGCGAAUCUACAAACCAUAUCACAGUUCGGAUCGGAGUCUGCCACUCGACCUCCCGUGAAGCUGGGAAUCGCUAGUAAUCGCAUAUCCAGCCCAUGAUGCGGUGAAUACGUUUCCCGGGGCCCUUGUACACACCCGCCCGGUCAAGCCCAUGGAAGCUGGGGGGUACCUGAAAGUUAGGUCACCCGCAAGGGAGCCCGCCUAGGGGUAAAACUGGGUAACU
rnacentral:rRNA from 1 species